CGCAGUCCGAGGAACCCGGACAUCAUCAAACAGCCGAGUGGACCGCCCGCUAAAGGAGGGACUGGGCCGGUCCACCGUACCUGGUCCCGAAUCCAGCUGCACAGCCGCAGGGAGCGGGGGAAGGGGCGUCCCACUCCUCACAGGGCCCCGCCGCGUAUCGGGAUUCCUCCCACGGCGAGAGCGGCUCGCAGAAGGCUGAGCGGCCGCUCUCCGCCGCCGAGGGUCCACAGGGGGGCUCCCUACUCGGCGCCGGGUCCGGGGUGUGACUUCAGGGCUUAGGCGCGCCGGUGGAAUACUCCGCCGCGGCCGGGCAGCCCGAACAUUAGGGGUAGCCACAGGAGCAGGUGAAACUAUGCAUGCACCAACCUGCUCCUGCAGCCAGCCAGGCCCCCGCACCUCCGCUUCUCUCCUCAACCUCUCCAACAUCUCCUCCACUGACACUCCAGUCUGGCCAGGAAA